AAUCUACAGAUGUAAAUGAUGAUCUCUUCAGUUCUCUCGUCUCUUUUGAUGAUCUGAGAGAAUCUGUCCAUCAGCUGAGAGACAAACUGGAGGAUUUCUGCAAAGAGGAGCUCAAGAAGAUCUCAGACAGAGAAACAUUCACCAACAUUGUUCCUAGGACCAGGAACCACUUCCUACAAUAUUCCCAUCAGUUCACUCUGGAUCUGAACACAGUGAAUAAACGCCUCCGUCUGUCUGAGAGCAACAGAGUUAUUACUGUCACUGACACAGUCCAGUCGUAUCCUGAUCAUCCAGACAAAUUUGAUUAUUGGUGUCAGGUGUUGUGUAGAGAGAGUGUGUGUGGACGCUGUUACUGGGAGCUGGAGUGGAGUGGAGAUGAUGUGUGUAUAUCAGUGUCAUAUAAGAGCAUCAGCAGGAAGGGACGGGGUUAUGAGUGUGUGUUUGGA